GGGGCUGUAGCUCAGUGAUAGAGCUUCCGAUUGUUAUGCGGGAAGACCUGGGUUCGAUUCCCGGUUGCUUCC
rnacentral:tRNA from 1 species